rnacentral:lncRNA from 1 species
AUGACGGAGCUGUUGGAGGUGACCGUGUGCUCCCCCUCCUGCAGCAUGGCCAAGUGGGGACCUUCUUCCUCCUCUUCCUCCUCCUCCUCCUCGUCUUCUUCAUCGUCUUCCUCCACCUCCUCCUCUUCCUCGCCGGGAUCGGGUCCGUUGGGGGCCUCCUGGAAGAGGAUCUUCUUCAUCUUGCGAUACUGGAGGUUGUCCAACUCCCGGACGGCGUCUUUGGUCCUUUGGAUGAGGUCCAGGACCACCCUCUGGGGACGUUCUCGGAGGAGAAACCGAUGCUGGAGAAAGGGACACCAAAGUUGGGGGGCAGGAAGACGGUUGGGGGGACGUCCCCCCCGAAGUUGGGGACAUCCCACGGUGACCCCCACCCUCCCCAACCCCCCUCCCCCCCCCCUCCAACUCGAGCUCUACCUUGAGGAGAACCUCGGAGGUGGGACGAUCGGGUGGGAUCUUCUGGAGACACGAAUCCACGAAAUUGCGGAAAUAUUCCGACCUACCGCCCGUAAGGAACCCGCCGCCCCAUAACUGAAGGUAGUUAUGGGGUCUAGGGGGUCUGCCCCACGGAUCUAGGGCGGACCCACGCGUCCCGGAAGGAAGGCGGGGGAGUGGGAGAAGGUUGAUUGGUUGGAGGGGGAGGGAUCUCACCAGUGAUUGGCCUGGAGGACGGGGGACUCGUUCUGCGCUAUGUGGUAUAAGGCACUCAUCGCGUUCAUGUUGAAAAGGGGGGGUUUCCUCUCCGCUGUGGGGCCAGAAAACUUAGGGGGCGGCGGCGCCGUGGGGCUCAGCCCCAUAAGUACCUCCGCUGCCCCCCGAGUCCUCACCCAACUCGAUGCAGGUGAUGCCCAAGGACCAGACGUCGGCUUUGCCGUCGUAUUGUCCCUCGUCCAUGGCCAGGAUGACUUCGGGGGCCAUCCUAUGGGGCAGGGAAGGGGUCAGAGGGGUCACACCCCGCUAUGGGGCUGAGCCCCACAAGCGGUGGCCCCCCGCUCACCAGUAAGGGGUCCCCACGAAGGAGUUGGCCGGGGCCACGAUGGAGGCGGAGCCGAAGUCCCCCAGCUUCACCUGCCCCGGCUCCGUCAGCAGGAUGUUGCCGGCCUUGACGUCUCUGUGGGGCAGAGGUGUGGGGCGGGGAUCAGUGGGGCAGAGGAUCAGUGGGGUGGGAGCAGUGGGGCAGCGAUGGGGAGGAUGGGUGGGGUGGG